AACAAACGCUGGCGGCGUGCCUAAUACAUGCAAGUCGAACGAGGUAGCAAUACCUAGUGGCGCACGGGUGAGUAACGCGUGGAUAAUCUGCCUUUGAGUGGGGGAUAGCUAGUCGAAAGAUUAGCUAAUACCGCAUAAGACCACAGGAACUGAGGUGCUAGGGGUUAAAGGUUUUUCGCUCAUAGAUGAGUCCGCGUGAGAUUAGCUAGUUGGUGAGGUAACGGCUCACCAAGGCGACGAUCUCUAACUGGUCUGAGAGGAGGAUCAGUCACACUGGAACUGAGACACGGUACAGACUCCUACGGGAGGCAGCAGUAGGGAAUAUUGCACAAUGGAGGAAACUCUGAUGCAGCGACGCCGCGUGAGUGAUGAAGGCUUUCGGGUCGUAAAGCUCUGUCGCAGGGGAAUAACACAAUGAAUGUACCCUGUAAGAAAGGAUCGGCUAACUUCGUGCCAGCCGCCGCCGUAA
rnacentral:rRNA from 1 species